CACACCCAUAUUUGACAGAUGGUGGGAAUCCACAUUUUUGAAGAGGCAUUUACAGCCCCUUACUAAGGCAAAGGUAAGUGCUAAUUCCUUUUAAGGAUUGCUCCUUAUCUGAGUUGCCCAGGUGGCUUGCAUUUGCCUAUUGUAUAUGCCUUUAUUUCCAGGCCAUUAAGACCUCCUGGAGAGAGAGCACACAGGGUCUGCCCUGAGAACUGUUCAUUUUUAGGGGUGUAUUAGCAUAUGUUGAUGAUCCAGCUCAUUCACAGUAGGCUGUUGCUUGUAUGGCUACAAAUUGCCAACUUCCCUUUGCAGGAAAAAAUGUCAAAGUCAACCCUCUUCUGGAUGCUAUCAUCAUGUGCUCCCACUGAUGCCAGUGAAACAAAGAUUAAGUCUCUCAAGUUCAGGAGUUUGCAAGAUUGUAGGAGGCAGAUUUCAUUUGGCAGUGAAGCUGAGCCCCUAAAAUGCUGCUUGUUUGUUUCCAAGAAGAGGAGGAGACACCUUUGUGGAACUGCUAUGCAGUAACAGAGCUGCUGUUUAAUUUUGGGGUGUUUUGCUUUAAGUAAAGGAUUAUGCUCUAGAGAUGACUUUUUCCAGAAGAUUGAUUCUGCCUCAUUUUUUGCUCAUCAACAGCCUGCAAUCAAGAUUCAAAUCAAGGCAUGAGCAAAGAAUUCAAACCUGUAGCUGCUUUGCUGUUCUCCAUAGUUCUGAUAUCUCUGUAGCUUUUUUCCCUUUAUUGCAUGAGUGUGCAUACAUGCAUGACGACUGAACAGCGCAAGCCAAGAAAGCUUUAUUUUGAUUUGGUGGUGUGAAUAGAGAGGUGACAGGGUUUGCUGACAAACCCAAGAUACUGAGGGUAAUAAUGAUGGAGCUACCUGUGCAAAACUGUAGAAUUGUAUGAGACUUUAUACUCAGGUGUUAAAGUGGCAGAUGAAAUUUAAUGAGGUAAAUAUGAAAU
rnacentral:lncRNA from 1 species